UGCUCAUCCAGGUCACCGAAGUGGGCGCCGUAGAAGCCCACGCGGAAAUACGUCCCGAACACGCGCUGGGGCUGUGAGAAAGGGUGUGGUUGUCCGGGAGGCCCCUGCUGGAGGUCUCCCUGCCCCAGAGAUAGGUGUCUCGAAUAUCAGGAUGGGAGUGUGAGGACCCCGAGAACAUCAGGGCAUGGGCACAGGCAGGGGGCCCUGAGAACAUUGGGGCAUGGAUUGCAAUAGGAAGUUAGGACUGGGGCUGUAUUGUUUACGGGUGUGUCCCUAAUGCCCGUGGGACAGGGUAUACAGCAGGUACCCAAUACAUGCAUAGAUGGCUGAGGAGAGGGAUGGCUGUCUCUCACUCUAGGAUGGAGGCUCUGCCUCCUUUGUUCUAGGGCAUUCUCCUUCCUGUGCCCUGAGGCCCACAAGAAUGGGUAUACAGUAGGUACCCCAUAAAUGCUUGGAUGGCUGAGGGAAGGGAUGGCUGUGUCUCACUCUAGGACAGUGGCUCUGGUUCCCUUGUUCCAUGGCAUUCCCCUGCUCCUGUCCCCAGCCCUAAGUUUGGAAGAAGGAACCCCCUCCCUACCACCCUAAAAACACCACCCCAUGACUGGAAAGGAAGUAGAAUGGCUGGAUGUUCACUUACCAAGGCCGAUCCGGGGAGGAUGGGGCAGACAUGGUGGGGCCAGAGGUGUGGGGGACAGAGAGACAAUGUCAUGGGAGAGGUCAGAGGUCAGAGUUCCCUCAACCCCCAGGGUCCUGGUUAACACUGCCCCGUGAGAAUCAUUCCGUGGGGGGAGAGAUCAGAGACGGGAGGGGGGCGGGGGCGAAGAGGACCUGCCCUCCCCACCCAGCUCCCACCCAGCCUGCCUGCCUGGGCUCUGGGUUUCUGCCAUCUUUGGCCAGAACAUUCUCCCCAAACUAGGAGAUGCCUAAAAAUAGACCUAAGCAGGGAAGAAGCGGGAUUCGGGGGGGCUGGAGCGGGAGGACACAUUAACCAGAAAUGAGGAGCAGAGAGCCUGGGGGAGGCUGGAAGCUGGGUACGCAGGGAGAGACAGAGACUAAGAGACAGUGAGAUACCAAGAUAGGGAGAGCCACGUGAUAGACUGGGGAGAGAUGAGAAAGAGACCAAGAGACCAUGAGGGAGUCAAGAGUCACCCCGCCACCCCCCUGCAGUGACCAAGCUGGCCCUGGCAGAGGGAGGGGUGUCUCUGGAGAGCUCCCAGCUGGAGGCAGGGUUUCUCUAUGUUGCCCAAGCUGGUCUUGAACUCCCGACCUCAAGUGAUCUGCCCGCCCCGGCCUCCCAAAGUGCUGGGAUCACAAGCGUGAGCCACCGCACCUGGCCCUUCCUCUGAGGCCUUCGUCUCCAAGAAUCCAGCAAAGUGACAAUAAUGAAAAUAAUGUCACUAAAGGGCCAGCACCACAGAAGAAAUCUCACUGGAACACCUGACUUCAAGUGUGACCUUGAAUCUCACUGAGCUCUCAAAUGUAACUGCCAGUUCCCCAAAAUGUGAGGAACUGAGAAACAGGUAAAAUGACAUCACAUGGACACAGCCAGCCCCACACAAACCAGAAAAACACACGGAGCAAAGGCCCCAGGGCUCCUGCAAGUUAAAUGUAGAAACCACCAACUGCCCUCAUACAAACAAGCAAACUAGAGAAGAAAACCCCUUUUCCACAGUGGAAAAUCAGUUGCCGGGCAUGCUGGCUCACGCCUGUAAUCCCAGCACUUUGGAAGGCCGAGGCGAGAGGGUUGCAUGAGUCUAGGAGUUCAAGCCCAGCCUGGGCAACAUAGCAAGAUCCCAUCUCUUAAAAAAAAAAAAUGAACGAAGAAAAAAAAAUUAGUUGGGUGUGGUGGUGCGCACUUAUAGUCCCAGCUACUCAGGAGGCUGAGGUGGGAGGAUCACCUGAGCCGAGGACAUAGAGGCUGCAGUGAGCCAGGCUGCACUCCAGCCUGGGUGAGAGAGUAAGACCCUGUCUCAGAAAAAAAAAAGAAAGAAAGAAAAAAGAGACUUAGGAUACAGAUCAGCGACAGCCAUUGUGGGCCCUUAAUGGAUCCUGAUUCAAACCAAGUCACCCCAGAAAAGAUACAUCAGAGAUCAUCUGGGACAUCUAAAUAUAGAGUGCAAUGAAAUAAAGGAUGACCAUUAACUUGGCCACGCGGGAUAAAAGUUUUAUAAAAGGGUCUUUAUCAGGAAGGGUUGCACAGGGGGUACUUGUGGGAGUGGUGGGAAAAUAGCUGGGAUUUGUGGUGGUUUUUUUUUUUUUGUUUUUUGUUUUUGGAGACAGAGUCUUGCUCUGUCUGUCAGGCUGGAGUGCAGUGGGCAUGAUCUCAGCUCACUGCAACCUCCGCCUCCCGGGUUCAAGCGAGUCUCAUCCCGAGUAGCUGGGAUUACAGACACCUGCCACCAUGCCCAGCUAAUUUUUGUAUUUUUAGUAGACAUGGGGUUUCACCAUGUUGGCCAGGCUAUUCUUGAACUCCUGACCUCGUGAUCCGCCUGCCUUGGCUUCCCAAAGUGCUGGGAUUACAGGAGUCAGCCACUGCGCCCAGCCUGGGAUUUGCUUUAAGCUGGAGCUUCUCCAACUUGAAGAUGCAUGCGAAUAUCCCAAAUCUUUAUUUUAUUUAUUUUUUGAGACAAGGUUUCACUCUGUCACAUAGGUUGGAGUACAGUGGCACGAUUACAACUCAUUGUAGCCCCAACCUCCUGGGCUCCAGUGAUCCUCCCGCUUCAAGCUUCCUGAGUAGCUGGGACUACAGGUGCAUGCCACCACACCCAGCUAAUUUCUUGUAUUUUUUUGUAGAGACAGGGUUUGCCAUGUUGCCCAGGCUGGUCUUGAACUCCUGGCCUCAAGUGAUCCUCCUGCUUCAGCCUCCCAAAGUGCUGGGAUUACAGGCAUGAGCCACUGCACCUGACUCAUUUUUAUUUUAGUAUAGAAAGUUUCAAGCAUUGCUGGGUGUCCCAGCUACUUGGGAGGCUUGGGUGGGAGGAUUGAGUGAGGCCAGGAGUUUGAGACCAGCCUGGGCAACAUAGUAAGACUCCCUCUCUAUGAAAAAAUUAAAAAUUGGCAGGGUGUAGUGGCACAACACCUGUAAUCCCAUGACUUUGGGAGUUUGAAGCG
rnacentral:lncRNA from 1 species